GUCCUGGCAAGCAGCACCAAACACGUGGCCCUGAUGGCUUCAGACGGACGCAGACCCCGCGGGCCCUGGGACUUCUCCAAAGCAGGAGUGCAGAGAGAAUGCAUGAAACUUGAUGGGUCUGCAGAUACAUCAGCACUCACACCUAUGCACUGAUGGAUGUCCACAACUUCUUAUGUUGCAUGUGUCUCAAGUAUGGUUUCAUGAGAGAGAUUGAAGCUUUGGGGAGUUUGUGUAAAGUUCAAUCUAGCACAUGGGAAUCCAGAUUCUGAUCUGAUCUCUUGGCACUUUUCUGUAUAAAUAUUAAAUAAUAAUGAUUUGUUGUGCCUCUGAAUGUAA